AAGGUGUCGCUAGGUGGUUGCUAGGGUGUUGCUAGGUGGUUGCUAAGGUGUUGCUAUGGUAUCUGGGGUGGUUGCUAAGGUGUUUCUAGGUGGUUGCUAGGUGGUUGCUAAGGUGUUGCUAUGGUAUCCGGGGUGGUUGCUAAGAUGUUGCUAGGUGGUUGCUAAGGUGUUGCUAUGGUAUCUGGGGUGGUUGCUAAGGUGUUUCUAGGUGGUUGCUAGGUGGUUGCUAAGGUGUUGCUAUGGUAUCCGGGGUGGUUGCUAAGAUGUUGCUAGGUGGUUGCUAAGGUGUUGCUAUGGUAUCCGGGGUGGUUGCUAAGGUGUUGCUAGG